rnacentral:rRNA from 1 species
UACAGAGGUGGCAAGCGUUGUUCGGAAUUACUGGGCGUAAAGGGCGCGUAGGCGGUCUUGCAAGUCCUGUGUGAAAUCCCUCGGCUCAACUGAGGAACUGCACAGGAAACUGCUUGGCUUGAGUUCGGGAGAGGGAAGCGGAAUUCCGGGUGUAGCGGUGAAAUGCGUAGAUAUCCGGAGGAACACCGGUGGCGAAGGCGGCUUCCUGGAACGACACUGACGCUGAGGCGCGAAAGCUAGGGGAGCAAACGGG